GACGUAGGGGACGAGCGUUGUCCGGAUUCAUUGGGCGUAAAGCGCGCGUAGGCGGUUCGGUAAGUCGGGUGUGAAAACACGAGGCUCAACCUCGUGCGUGCAUCCGAUACUGCCGGGCUUGAGGCAGGUAGGGGAGAUCGGAAUUCCUGGUGUAGCGGUGGAAUGCGCAGAUAUCAGGAGGAACACCCGUAGCGAAGGCGGCACUCUGGGCCGAUACUGACACUGAGGAGCGAAAGCGUGGGGAUCAAACAGG
rnacentral:rRNA from 1 species